rnacentral:tRNA from 1 species
ACCUGGGUGGCUCAGUCGGUUGAGUGUCCGACUUCGGCUCAGGUCAUGAUCUCACGGUCUGUGGGUUCGAGCCCCACAUCAGGCU